AGAAUUUUUCUCAAUGGGGGAAACCCUGAAGGAGCGACGCCGCGUGGAGGAUGAAGGUCUUCGGAUUGUAAACUCCUGUCAUUGGUGAACAAAGCUAUCGGAGUAACUGCCGUUUAGUUUGAUAGUAGCCGAAGAGGAAGAGACGGCUAACUCUGUGCCAGCAGCCGCGGUAAUACAGAGGUCUCGAGCGUUGUUCGGAUUCAUUGGGCGUAAAGGGUGCGUAGGUGGCAGGGUAAGUCUGGUGUGAAAUCCCGGAGCUCAACUCCGGAACUGCACUGGAUACUGCUUUGCUAGAGUACUGGAGAGGAGAUUGGAAUUUACGGUGUAGCAGUGAAAUGCGUAGAUAUCGUAAGGAAGACCAGUGGCGAAGGCGAAUCUCUGGACAGUUACUGACACUGAGGCACGAAGGCCAGGGGAGCAAA
rnacentral:rRNA from 1 species